rnacentral:tRNA from 1 species
GCGGGCGUGGCGGAAUUGGCAGACGCGCCAGACUUAGGAUCUGGUGGGCUUCCCGUGCAGGUUCAAGUCCUGUCGCCCGCACCA